rnacentral:rRNA from 1 species
ACGCUCGACACCUACGGUAGGCAGCAGUGGGGAAUAUUGCACAAUGGGGGAAACCCUGAUGCAGCAACGCCGCGUGAGUGAAGAAGUAUUUCGGUAUGUAAAGCUCUAUCAGCAGGGAAGAUAAUGACGGUACCUGACUAAGAAGCUCCGGCUAAAUACGUGCCAGCAGCCGCGGUAAUCUGAGCGGGCUGGCAAGGC